GCCAUUACAAUGAGUGUCAGCCUCCAAUUUAAGAGGAAGGCAAUGAAGAAUGAAGUGCAGAUUAAGCCCAAGUUCUGUAUCAGUAUUGUUGUUCGGUCAACAACUACGGUUCUUAGUAACGUUGCAUCACUUUCUAAACGGGAAGCGAGCAUUGAGCUUGUGUUGUUCAUGUCGUCGAACCAUCCAAUCUCGUUUCGCAAAAUAGCUGCAAAAAUUCAUGAUUAAAAUGAAGAGCCAACGUUUUCUUUUAACUAUAUUCAUAUGAUAUUCUGAGUUGACACAUUCAGUAGUAUAUGGGUCAAAUGGCAUCUAUAUAUGUACCUGAAAACAUCUUUUGACGAACACGAAGAGUGAGCCUUUCUGCCAUGAUCCCGAAGCAUAAAUGAGUGAUGGAGUAAACAGUGAUACUCACACAAGCACCAAAACAAAAGAGAAGGGCAAUCUUUUUGACCUCACGCUGUGUGGUUUCCCAGUCCAUGUAAUAAGCCACGAGGGCUUCACUAAUCCCAAGAGCAAAGAGAGGCAUACAGGAUCCGGCUACGAGUGCUCCUAUGGUACCGGUUAAGCCAUAAACCCAGUCAGGCUGAAUCAUCGAGUAUAAUCUUUUUGAGGAAAUGCGUGGUGGCUUAAUGUAUUCAACACCUUCAACACCGAGCUUGCCUACAGAUUCUCUAUCAGAAUGAAAACUAGCUCCUAUGCUCCUUGUAGUCGUGCGGGAUAGUUCGCGAGAAUAUCUUAUGCUACACGGGAAAAACCCAAAGAAAGGGAAAAGAAAUUCAAUAUUCCAUUAACUUGAUUGGGUCACAUAUCAAACUUAAAGAAAGUGGCUAACCUGGAAGGUCUUCCCAUAGAAGCAACACGGGACGGUGCACGAUGCAAAGAGGCUGUUUCUUGAAGUUGAACGAGCGAUGCAUAGGCACUAUCAGGUCGGGCCAUGAGCUCUUCAUGGCUCCCAGUUUCCGCUAUCUUCCCUUGGUGAACAACAGCUAUAAUGUCUGCAUUUCUAAUGGUGGAAAGCCGAUGGGCUACAACUACGGUUGUCCUUCCCACCAUCACACGAUCAAGUGCCUCUUGGACACUCUUUUCAGAUUCAGUGUCAAGGGCGCUAGUGGCUUCAUCUAACAAUAAAAUUGAUGGGUUUUUCACGAUCGCCCGUGAAAUUGCAAUUCGUUGCUUUUGUCCCCCUGAGAGUUGUAUCCCACGUUCACCCACCUGCGUUUCAAAUCUUUCCGGGAGAUUGUUAAUAAAAGUAAUCGCCUCGGAUAACUUUGCAGCGUGUGUGAUCUCUUCAUGAGUAGCCGAAUCCUUCCCAUAUAAAAUAUUAUCCCUUAUCGUAGUAGCAAAGAGAGCUGGUUCUUGAUUGACCAGCCCAAUCUGGUUUCUUAGCCAUUUUAUGUCAAGCUCACAUAUAUUGUUCCCAUCUAACAGGAUCUGGCCCGAGAGAGGCUCGUAAAAUCGUUCUAUCAGUGAUAUAACUGUACUCUUCCCCGAACCGCUACCACCAACAAGGGCCACAAUUUUCCCAGAAGGUAUAUCAAGACGAAGAUUGUCAAAGAUCAUCACAUCUGGUCUAGAUGGGUAACUGAAACACACAUCAUCAAAGCGUAUGUGACCAUCCAAUUUGGCAAGUGUACGGCCUGUUUUGGCACUGGUUUUGGUUACUGUUCUCCUCUCUAUCAUUUCAAAGAUGGGAUAUGCUGCUGAUUUAGCCCGAAUGAAUGCGCUGACGUCCGGUGCAGCCUGCCCGAGAGACCUACAUUGACACAAACAUACAAAAUAUCAAAAUUGUUGAUACAUCCCUCAUUUUGUUUGAUGUGAGUAUGUUAUAGUUUCAACUCAGUUGCUAAUGCAUUGCUGGUUAGUAAAGGGGCAAUAAUGUCUUAGCAGAGCUGUGCUAAAAACAUCUUUCAACCUUUUUAACCCGUUACCCAACCUGCCAAGUAACUUUGGCGCAUCUAUUUUACAGAUAUUUCCUAAAUAUGAUGUGGGCGACUUACAGGCCAGCAAUGACAACAUUGAGCAUGGUGGUGAAGGAGUCGCCGCCAUUAGCAAUGUUUUUGUGGACGACGAUGCUGGUAUACCAGACGAGCAAUGACCAAGAGAGGAAGAGAACAAAAUGCAAAGUUCCCAGGCCCAAGCCUUUGGCUAGACCAGCUUUUUUGCCGUACUUGUAAGUGUUUGACAGAGCUUCAAUGUAAGAAUUUACUGCCUUCUCUUCUCCAGAAAAUGCUUGCACUGUCCUUACAUUUCCAAUUACCUGCCAUCAAUAAUCUUUCAUUUUUCAGCACUUAAAUUUGAAUGCUAAUUUUUAUAUCUGAAACGAAGUGAAAAUUUUACAUA